GAUAUGUGUGUGUGCUCCGCCGCGCCCCGGAAGGACGCGGGGCGCGGCGGGAGACGUGUGAUGAUGAAGGCCUUCGGGUUGUAAACUUCUUUUUGUUGGAAAGAAGGGUGGGUGUGUAAAUACCGCAUGCAUUUGAGGGUACCAAAAAAGGAACCACCGGAAACCUUCGUGCCAGCUUCCGGGGUAAUUAAAAGGUAAAAACUUCUUCCCAACCGAAGUGCUUUUCACCGAAGGCCUUCUUCACUUUGCGGCGUUGCUGGACAGGCUUUCCCCAUUGCGAAUAUUCCCACUGCUGCCUCCUUAUUCUUCGUGCCCCGCCCGCCUUCCUGCUGCUUGGAAUUUUUUCUUCAAAAAAAACCCUUACCCCCCCGC
rnacentral:rRNA from 1 species